CUAGUUCCUUCGAUAUCAAUGUAAUCUAAUAAUCAUGAUUUUUUUUUCUGUGUUGGUGUAUUCACCUGAGUGCACUACACCAACACAGAAAAAAAAUCAUGAUUAUUAGAUUACAUUGAUAUCGAAGGAACUA